CCUCUCUCAGGGUAGCACCUGGAGAGUUUCCAGUACUCUACCAGUCACGAUUACAAGAGGGAUAGUCAAGCAGAGACAUAUCCAUUCCAUUCCUAGCUUGGCCAGUGGCUAGUGAGUGGAGGGCAAUCGGCUACAAGU
rnacentral:snoRNA from 2 species